rnacentral:rRNA from 1 species
UACGUAGGGGGGCAAGCGUUGUCCGGAUUUACUGGGCGUAAAGAGCGUGUAGGCGGCCAAACAGGUCCGUUGUGAAAACUGGAGGCUCAACCCUCCAGACGUCGACGGAAACCGUGUGGCUAGAGUCCGGAAGAGGAGAGUGGAAUUCCGUGGUGUAGCGGUGAAAUGCGCAGAUAUCAGGAAGAACACCAAUGGCGAAGGCGGAUCUCUGGGCCUAACCUGACGCUGAGGCGCGAAAGCUAGGGGAGCAAACAGG